GAACACUAUAUAUAACAUCCAGGACACAUACAAAUAUAUUAUACAAAUUUUGAGCACCAAGAAUUUUUGAAAUAUUGACAAUAAUGUGUCGCUCUUUUAUAAUGUUACAAGAUAUCUGUUUAUCAAAAAUUGUUGUAAUUUGAAAAACUGGCACAAUAUUUCCUGUAGCUUUAUCUUUAUGCUUAAAUAGCAUGUAGCGGUUUUUCAACAAAAUGAUGAAGAAAUUUUAUUUAUUUUGCUUCAGUUAUAUUUUCUCUAAUCAUAUGAAAUGGAUGAGAUACACAAAAACGUCUUUGAAUUCCUUCAAAGCUCUUUAAUCAUUAGUUCAAGCAAUUGAAUAAAUCUCAAAAUUUGCUUUUAAUAGUCAGGACAUUGAAGACACAACAUCUCUGACUACACUAUAUCCCAGCUUCUCUUCUCUGCCACUUUUCCAUCCAUAUUUCAAAUUUCUUAAAUAAGGUUACCUCAUUAUCUAAAUUUUAAUCAUUUACUUGCAUGGAAAUAAAGGCCAGGAUAUCUGUUUUGAAAUACCCCUCUAUUUUGUCUGAUUAAACACUAUAAAAUAUGGGUUUUGCAUUGCAAACAUGAAAAUACCUGGUUUAUUAUUUUUCAUUUUUGUCGAUUAUUGAAAAACUGUGCAAGCUGUUUCGUUAAUUUCUGGAUGGGUCAGAUAUGCUAAAUUUUGCCUUUUCAAGUCCCCAAAGAAAUUUUUCAUUCUUAUCAAUUUGUCUUAGCAAAAUAGGGUCAAGUCUUAAAGAAAUUUUCCAUAUUUUUUUCUCCCUUUUAUCAAGUUAGAUUGCUCUUCUGUGGAUUGAUAACAUUGGACAGAAUAUAAAAUGUACUUGCAUGAAAAUAAAUGCUCUGUAUUGUAUGCCUCCUAUUGAAUUUCUAUCAAUAAAUGUCGUUUUAAAGCU
rnacentral:misc_RNA from 1 species